UUGUUUACCCGCCAUUUUGGAGGGGUAGGUUGAUCAAAUUCGCAAAUCCACCCACAUUUGACGAGUAGCGGGUGCUAAUUUCCAUCCCUGACUAUUUGUAUAACAUGGUUGAUGUUUUUCAUUAGGAUCUUGUAAUGGUGUACAGAUAAGAGUAUAUCUGUCUGUGUGGGUAGUGCUUUGUCGUGAACAUGUUGCUUGUUAAUUGAGAGAUUUAAGUCUAACUAAGGAUGUGCACCAUUUUUUUUAAUGAGGUUUGGCAGAUUUGCAUUUCAUAUAACUUGCCAUGUGCCUCUGUCCCUUAUUCACAGAAAAGAGAAGACUUCCUUCUUCAAGAAAAUUUGCUUGGAGAUUCAUGUUGGUCUGGACAAGCCUGUUCCAGACUAAUUGUGACCUCUAUGCAAAUAAGUCUUCCCUUUUAAAUAAGU